rnacentral:lncRNA from 1 species
AGAAGGGAAUUCUGGCAGAACCACUUCUGGACCUGUCCCUCUGCACCCCCCAUUCCUGCGCCCUCAUUUAACCUCCCUGACUCUGACCUGGGCUUGGUCUAUCUUGGGGCCUGGCUGCCGUCCUGGGACGGGAAGGGGAGCAGAUCAGAACUCAGCCUGCGGCUCCAGGCCGCUGGGCGCUGGCUGGGCCUCACGUUCUCCUGGAAGGACCACCUCCCUUGCCCUCCACGGGGUCUGCCUUUGCUCCCAAGGCUCCGCCCUGGACGGAGCGUCCUUCUUGCCUGGGCGUCUUCAGACCUUCAUCUGUGACACCGGGGGCCAUGUGGCUCACCCCGAGGAAGAGACGAGGACUCGCUGUGUUGGCUGUUCUUGAGCUUCUGGGCUCAAGCAAUCCUCCCUCCUGAGCUUCCCAGAGUGCUAGGAUUACAGUGAAGACUAAGGGCCAAGCAUGAGCCUUUCUUCCUGCUCUUUUACCCUUGAGGCAGCAGGAGAGGAUAUUCACCUCCUGACAUGACAGAUUCUGACGCUAUCUGCUCCUCUGUGACUUUGGGAAGCGGGGUAUGUGCUGCUCCUGGGCUGAUGGGGGAAAGUGCCUCUCCCAGCAAUGCUGGUGCCACUUGGUGUGCUACGGCCCCCCAGGGCAGUGCGGAGCCAUCUGGGACAGUUAGACAAUGAGAGACGUGAAGCCAUUUCAAGGUGCUUCCUUGAAAAUGCUCCAGAAAAACAGCAGAGGCGGCCUCUCUGGGGAUCCGGUCCAGCCCUUGAAAAGAAUCUGUUUGUUUCACCACUGAACUCAAAUAAGCCAACAGAUUGAAGGAAGGGAGUUUCCACGCGCCCCUCCCCACCAAGCAGUUACCUGAGUUCCAGAGUCCAGUCCGAUGGAUCCCAUUUUACCCUGGUUUAAAUUGUUUCCUUAGAAAAAAAUAAACAGAACCUCUUCUCUCACUCUCCAGUGGAAAGUAUAGAAUCAAACGUAAAUGAAAAUGACAGUUUCUAACAUGCGCGACCUGGACACGCGGCUGAACUCCGAGCCUCAGCUGCAGAGUGGGGUCAAUGCACCUACCUUGCAGCGUCA